AAUAUGAACGCUUUUUUUUCUCAUUUGUCGUGUGCUGUGGAAUUUGAUUUCUUUACUUUUUUGGCAUUCAUUCCCUCAUUAGACACUGAAAGAGUUUUACCAGGAAGUGCAGAGCUGUACUGUUGACUUAGGUAUUACAGCAGACAGCUCCAACCACCCAGACAACAAGCACAAGAAUCGAUACAUAAAUAUUGUUGCCUAUGAUCAUAGCAGGGUUAAGCUUGCACAGCUUGCUGAAAAAGAUGGCAAACUGACUGAUUAUAUCAAUGCCAAUUAUGUUGAUGGCUACAACAGACCAAAAGCUUAUAUUGCUGCCCAAGGCCCACUGAAAUCCACAGCUGAAGAUUUCUGGAGAAUGAUAUGGGAACAUAACGUGGAAGUAAUUGUCAUGAUAACAAACCUCGUGGAGAAAGGAAGGAGAAAAUGUGAUCAGUACUGGCCUGCCGAUGGGAGUGAGGAGUACGGAAACUUUAUGGUCACUCAGAAGAGUGUGCAAGUGCUUGCCUAUUAUACUGUGAGGAAUUUUACUCUAAGAAACACAAAAAUAAA
rnacentral:sRNA from 1 species